GUUGAUUAUAAUAGUGACUAAGGUUGUAAUAUGGUCUAUGAACUUUGUCAGUAUUGCUGGUGUUAUAUUGUGUGUGUGUGGAGAAAAGGGGGUGGGUCCUGUGUUGAAUUUUUUGUUUUACAUUUUACUAAAAUUUCUUUUGCAACUAAAUAUAAAGGUUAAUGAAUUGAAAGAAUGUUACGCAUCCUCCAAUUAGUUUCUAUGGGAUAUGAAUUGGUAACAUUUGCAUUCAGUUGCGUAAUGUUGUUCAGUCUUUCGCUUUCUAUGUUGUGCUUUGUAUAUUGAUGUUUGUGUUCUUUGUUUUUACUUUCUUUUUCUUGACAUGGCUUUGUCAGUUAGUUUUCAAAUUAUGUGUUUGAAUGUCCCUUUGGUAUAUUUCGCCUCCCUUUAAUUGCGAUGACAUCUUAAAAACGGGAAUUAAAAGAAAAUCCAAUUGACAAUCGGAGACAAACUGGUAACAAGCCCGAUUUUUUUUUCUCUCGAAAAUUGUGUAUUAAAUAUUUUUCAUAAAGUAUAAAGAGAGCGAAAAAUAAAUAUUUUAUAUAAAAAAAAUUGCAAACCCAUGAGGGCCAUAUUAAUUUUAUCAAAACAUUUAUCAAAACAAUCAAAGGUUUAUUAAGUUAUGUGCAUAAUCCGUUACAACUGUAGUGUAAAGCAAUGUUUCUUUCGGAGAAUUGGUCAUAAGACUCGUUGUUUAUUUCAAAAUAAAAAAUUAUAACAAAACUUUUUCAGCGAAACAAGAAAUUUUAGAAUGAAUUUAUAUAAGUAUAAACCUAAACAGAAAUUUUUCCAUGUUUUUUUUUUGUAUUUUCAGUCUUUGCUUUAUCAGUAUUUAUGAUAAAAAUCAACAGUACAAAUUUUGCUGCAUCAGAUGCAAAUUUUGACAAUUAAUGUCUAUUGAAGGAUGCUUAAGACCAAAUAACUUGAACACUUCAAGCAUAAUACAAAUGUUAAAGAGCUGAUAUAAUAAAAUUGGACCUAUUACAUAGCAAAAUCCGGGCAAGGAAUAAGACCUUUCCAUGAGGGAGAUAUAUUAAAUAAUUUGAUACGAUUUCCAAAAUUGUAUUAUAGAGCAGAAGUACAGAUGUACAGGUUACUGUUUUGUUGAUACUCUCUGAGACUAACAGCCCAUCAGCAGAGGCAUCAAUAAAAAAAUUAGUGAUUUUUAGCCAUGGCGUUGUCGGUUUAUAUUCGAUUUAUGAGUUUGAAUGUCCCUUCGGUAUCCUCUUUGAGAACAUUAUUUGCAUGCUCAUGCAAGUACGCUGAAGGUGGAUGUUUAUUAUCAACAAAUCGAGAACAAAUCAGUUGUCAGUACUUCAGUGUUGAUAUGGCGUAUCUUUUUAAAAAAAAUAAAUUCACUUAAACACAAAGGAUCGUCUUCACCCGGGCAAAGAUGUCAACCGUUGUUCCCAAGUUCUUACUGCUCUUCAACUUGAUUCGGCUUUCCAACUUUUUUUAUUGGAAAUGCCACUGUUGAGUAUGUAGCUAUUUGCAUAGUUGUGUUUCAGUGCAUGUUUUCUUGAGAGAUUAAUGUUUUUGAACGUUUUGGGGGUGAGUGCUUGUGCAAAAUAUAAAAUAACAAAAAUACCCAACUCCGAGGAAAAUUCUACACGGAAAGUUCCUGAACACAUGGCAAAAUUAAAAGCUCAAAUACAUCAAGCGAAUGAAUAACAACUUUUUUCUUAUGUAAAAAUAUAAAGAUAAAGAUUUUCGAAAGCAGCAAACUUAAUAAAUAUUUGUGAUAUGUUUAUGAUUUUCUUGCAUGAUUUUUGACAUUUUCUUUAUUUCCUUGCUAGCACAGACAAGUUGUUGUAUCUUAAUAACAAAAUUAUGAUUUAUAAUUUAAUAGAAGAAAAAAUAACUGAACAUGCAACCAUUUUUUUCAAAUUACAUUUCCGCAAUAAUGAGACAAAAUGAGUCAAAUGUAAAAAAAAAAGAUAUUGACGUCCUAAAUACAAGAAUUUUGGAACAGAUUUUAUGUUCAUGAUUAAAAUGUUUUCUUAAUACUUGAAAAACUAUUUAACAAAAUUUGAUUGAAAAGCAAAUUUAAUCUUUUAAAAAAUAGGGAAAGGAUGAAU
rnacentral:lncRNA from 1 species